rnacentral:rRNA from 1 species
GCUCAGGGAUUAACGCUGGCGGCGUGCAUAACACAUGCAAGUCGAACGAUGAAACUUAAAAGAUUUCUUCGGAAUGAACUUAAGUGGAUUAGUGGCGAACGGGUGAGUAACGCGUGAGUAACCUGCCUUACACAAGGGGAUAGCCUCUGGAAACGGAGAAUAAUACCCUAUGAAACUAUCUUAUCGCAUGAAUAGAUAGUCAAAGUGUUUAGCGGUGUAAGAUGGACUUGCGUCUGAUUAGCUAGUUGGUGAGAUAACAGCCCACCAAGGCAACGAUCAGUAGCCGGCUUGAGAGAGUGUACGGCCACAUUGGGACUGAGACACGGCCCAGACUCCUACGGGAGGCAGCAGUGGGGAAUUUUGCACAAUGGGGGCAACCCUGAUGCAGCGACGCCGCGUGAUUUAGAAGGCCUUCGGGUUGUAAAAAUCUUUUGUAUAGGAAGAAAAUGACAGUACUAUACGAAUAAGGUCCGGCUAAUUACGUGCCAGCAGCCGCGGUAAUACGUAAGGACCGAGCGUUGUCCGGAAUCAUUGGGCGUAAAGGGUACGUAGGCGGUUAGAAAAGUUAGAAGUGAAAGGCUAUAGCUCAACUAUAGUAAGCUUUUAAAACUGUUUAACUUGAGAGAUGGAAGGGAAAGUGGAAUUCCUAGUGUAGCGGUGAAAUGCGCAGAUAUUAGGAGGAAUACCGGUGGCGAAGGCGACUUUCUGGCCAUUAUCUGACGCUGAGGUACGAAAGCGUGGGUAGCAAACAGGAUUAGAUACCCUGGUAGUCCACGCCGUAAACGAUGAGUGUUAGGUGUCUGGAGUAAAUCUGGGUGCCGCGGCUAACGCAAUAAACACUCCGCCUGGGGAGUACGCACGCAAGUGUG